rnacentral:lncRNA from 1 species
GCGAGUCGGCCUCGGCGCUGAUCAGCACCAGGUUCCCUCUGUGUGCCGGGCAGUAUGCCAGUUAAUUCAAGUGCAUGUCAGACCCAGAGGGUGACAUCCUGUGACUCAGAUGCUGGGGCCCUCAUGAUGCCUGGUAAGGAUGAACCGUUGUCCACAUUCUCUUCUCUGAGUCAAAGAGGAGGAAGAUCUGUCCAUCGAAACUGAACUGCCAAGAUCCGCUGCUGUGUCCUUCGGCUUUCUGCUCACAAGACAUCCUUGCCUGCAGGGUGAGGGGUUCUGCCCCCAUCAGAGAGAGAUCAGCUCUGGCCUUGACAGAUAUUGAGCCCCCAUCCUCUUCCACUUGCAAUUUCCUGGUCUUACUUGCUCUGCCACAUCCUGGCCUUGCCUCUAGACGUCUUGCGGGGUUGCCAUUGCCUGCUGUUGCUCUACAAAGGGACAGGACUGGACACUGAGACGGAGAACCCACGGCCUGCAAAGAUCACAGGGCAUCCUUCCUCCCUUUCUAGAAAGGGUUUGCUGACCCCUGUCUACACACUGACUAUUCUCUAUGACGCUGGCGCCCCAGUAGGAACAACAGGCAGGUCUGGGCCCCAAGGGCAGAAGUGGGUGCCUCUACUCACCAGAGUUCCCAGGGUCAUCCUGGAGGAAAUGGUGCUUCCCAUGCCCCCUGCACAGGUUCUGUGGGGAGCUUGGGGUGUGUUUGCUGGGGUGUGUCCUCAGGCAAGAGGCAGAAGGUGUCACGUGGUGUAAGAGGUCGCGAGGGCCCCUUCAUGGAUGGGGAGACCUCUGGGGUGACCAGCUGGGCUGAGGUGGGGAGUAAGAGGAUGUUACCUGGGUGGUGGCAGUGGAUGGUGAGGGGAGGGUGGGAAGUGUCUGCUGAGCCGCUGGGUGCAGGUGAGUGUCUACAGGAAAGUGCAGGGAAAAAUUAAAGGGCACGCAGCCCUGGGGGUGCUGGAGGGUUUGUGUGGUUGAGAGCGGGUGAGAACAGAGCAGGCUGGUGGCUGGUGGGAGUGUCUGUGAUUGUGUCCCUGUGCAACCCCACUUCACCCCUGUCCUGACCCCAGCUCGGGUUCUGGGGGCUCUGGUUUCUCCUUCCCGAGGGCGGGUGGGACUGCCGGGCUGCACUAGGGAUCCCCGCUCCACGUCGCCCUCUGCAGCCCUCUGGCCCCUCCACUCUCUGGGGGUUCCUUUCCAGCCUCCUCUCUGACCAGCUCCUCCCCUCGGAGGAUAAGUAGCCUCCGGGAGCGGAUCCGGCGGGAAGGAGACGCGGAGGGAAACUGAGCGGGGGCGCAGUCCGGGGUGAUCGCACGGGUCCUUCCAGAAGCCUCCCCUCCUCUGAAGCCCGCAGUCCACAGCCCCCCACGGUUGGCCUCCGCCCCGCUUAGGCUCCAUCCCCGAACUCACCGGCCAGCCCGGUCCUGCACCAGCUGGACAGCAGGAGCAGAAGCGGGAGGCGUAGAAGGAACGCGGGGCUGGCGGCCGCUGCCAUUGGGGAGUUGGAUCGCAGGGGACAGCAGAAGCGAAGCCCAGCCCGUGGAUCACCUGGCGGCUCGCAGGCUGUCUGAAUGCAGCCCUAACCUACAGUAAGCCCUAAACUCUAGCACUCCUUCUGCCCCGCCCCUCGGAGGAAACACACCC